rnacentral:rRNA from 1 species
UACGGAAGGGGGCUAGCGUUGCUCGGAAUCACUGGGCGUAAAGCGCACGUAGGCGGACUCUUAAGUCGGUGGUGAAAUCCUGGAGCUCAACUCCAGAACUGCCUUCGAUACUGAGAGUCUCGAGUCCGGGAGAGGUGAGUGGAACUGCGAGUGUAGAGGUGAAAUUCGUAGAUAUUCGCAAGAACACCAGUGGCGAAAGGCGGCUCACUGGCCCGGUACUGACGCUGAGGUGCGAAAGCGUGGGGAGCAAACAGG